rnacentral:rRNA from 1 species
CCUACGGGAGGCAGCAGUAGGGAAUCUUCCACAAUGGACGAAAGUCUGAUGGAGCAACGCCGCGUGAGUGAAGACGGGUUUCGGCUCGUAAAGCUCUGUUGGUAGUGAAGUAAGAUAGAGGUAGUAACUGGCCUUUAUUUGACGGUAAUUACUUAGAAAGUCUCGGCUAACUACGUGCCAGCAGCCGCUGUAAUACGUAGGUGGCAUGCGUUGUCUGGAUUUAUUGGGCGUAAAGCGAGUGCAGGCGGUUCAAUAAGUCUGUUGUGAAAGCCUUCGGCUCAACCGGAGAAUUGCAUCAGAAACGGUUGGACUUGAGUGCAGAAGAGGAGAGUGGAACUCCAUGUGUAGCGGUGGAAUGCGUAGAUAUAUGGAAGAACACCAGUGGCGAAGGCGGCUCUCUGGUCUGCAACUGACGCUGAGGCUCGAAAGCAUGGGUAGCGAACAGGAUUAGAUACCCCUGUAGUC